GAGGAGACUUUCCUGCCUUCGGGUAGGGGGACCACCCCCGCUUCCCUCUCUGCUGAAAGCUGUUUCAUCCCUCAGUAAAACUCCCCGCCUUGCUCACUCUUCAAUUGUCAGCACAUCUUCAUUUUUCUUGGGCAUGGGGCAAGAACUCAGGAACCAAUGUGCAAGGCAAACUUGUCUCAGGCGGGCAAAUUGCGUGGGGUGCCUCCUGCAGCAGGUAGUAUGCCCCGAGCUAGGCCUCCGGCAUUGCCGGCUAGAGGUCCUUGACUGGCAAAGGGACUGAGAAAAAUCCUGCAUUGAGGGAGAGGGGGGCGAGGGGCGGUCGUUGGAUCUAGGAGUAAUUGCCAGGCUUGCUCUAGAACUUAUUAAUGCAUUUAUAUCUAUGACCCCAUCACUCUCUAUCCCCUUAUUACUCUUUCUCAUAAAAUUUACCACAUGGUACCUGUUUUUUUUUUUUUUUUUUUUUUUUUGAGACUGAGUCUUGCUCUAUUGCCCAGGCUGGAAUGCAGUGGCAUGAUCUUGGCUCACAGCAACCUCUCUGCCUCCCAGGUUCAAGCGAUUCUUGUGACUCAGCCUUGUGAGUAGCUGGGAUUACAGGCACCCCGCAACCACGCCCGGCUAAUUUUUAGUAGAGACGGGGUUUCACCAUGUUGGCCAGGCUGGUCUCGAACUCCCGACCUCAAGUGAUCUGUCUGCCUCAGCCUCCCAAAGUGCUGAGAUUACAGGUGUGAGCCACCAUGCCGGGCCAUAGAGUAACAUCUUUAUUGAGAUAUAAUUCACAUAACAUACAAUUCACCUAUUUAAAGGGUAUAAUUCAGUGGUUUUUAGUGUGUUCACAGGGUUGUGUAACCAUUACCACAAUCUAAUUUGAGAACAUUUUAAUCAAUUCAAAAAGAAAUCCAACGCCCAUGAACAUUCACUCUGCAUUCCACCCUGUCCCCAGAUUGAAAACAACUAUGUGUUUUCUGUCUCUAUGGAUUUUCCUGUUCUGCACAUUUCAGAUAAGUGGAAUCAUAUAAUAUGUAGUCAUUUGUGAGACGCUUCUUUCACUUUGCAUAGUUUUCAAGGUUCAUCCAUGUGACUGCAUGUAAUCAGUACUUCAUUUCUUUUUAUUGCAGAAUAUAAUAAUAUUCCAUUGUAUGGAUGAUACCAUGUUUUAUUUAGCCAUUCCUCAGUUGAUAAACAUUUUGCUACCUGAUUUAAAGCUUACUUUCUGUUUCUCACACUAGUAUAUGAGCUUAAUGAGGGUAAGAACAUUUUUGUUGUUUCCCACUCAGUCCCUAGCAUUUUGCACAUUGCCUGUCUCAUGUCAGUGUCAGGUUCAAAUCUAUCUAGCUGUGCUUUCACUGACGGGGGCCAGGAGGUUUCACAAGGACUCAAUGGCUGAUUAAAUGCUUACAGAUACAGAUUUCUCAGGGCAGAACUUCUGCAAGCAUUUUGGCUGUGGUCAGUUACUUUCAGGUUUUCAUUACUUUUUGGUUUUCACAGCAUCCGCAAGUGCCCAUAGCCAUUAUCUCAGCUGCCUCUCUCUUUACUCUCUUGCCAAUGGUGCCAGGCCACAGCAGGUGUUAUCUUAUCACCUCAGUCCACCAUACAUAUGCUUAUCAAUUUGAGGGGUCAGCAAUUUCACUGGAGGCUGAAACCCUUGUCAUAAAUGGCUCCAUUUUGAGACAUUUCAGAUUACAAACCACUGUUAUAUACCAGCCUAGCAUGUAGAAAUCACUCAGUACAUUUAUUGAACA
rnacentral:lncRNA from 1 species